rnacentral:lncRNA from 10 species
AUGGGGAAAUCCUUCACCAACUUCAUGUGCAAGAAGGAUUUUCAUCUUGCCUCCAAAUCCAAUAUCAAAAAAGUAUGGAUGGCAGAACAGAAAAUAUCAUAUGAUAAGAAGAAACAAGAAUAAUUAAUGCAGCAAUAUCAUAAAUAACAAGAACCAUAUGAUAACAGAUUGUUUAUGGGAGAUGAACGUGUAAAUAAUGGCCUUAAUUUCAUGUAUGAAGCCCCACCAGGAGCUAAAAGAGAAAACAAAGAGAAAGAAGAAACAGAAAGAGAGACUGAAUACAAAUGUGAAUGGCAGAAAGGAGCCCCAUGAGAAAAAUAUGUCAAAGAUGACAUGAACAUCAGAGAGCAGCCCUGUGGUAUUGAGGUUUGAAAUGUGUGGUGCAUUAAAUGUCACCAGUGGGGUCAUGUCAACACAGAUCAAGAACGUCCUUUGCUUGGUCUUUCUGGAAUCAAUGCAAGUUUGGUUCCCACUGAUGGCUCAGGACCAUCGAUGCACCCCUUGGAGCUAAUAGCGAAGAUGAGAAACAGUGGGUUUGCACUGAACCGAAAUGUACUGGGGAGAACCUGACCACAAAUGAUCCAUCAAAGGAGUAUGUUGCAAGUGAGGGUGAAGAAUAUCCAGAAGUUGAAUGUUUAAAGUCACUAGCAGCUAAACAAAAACAGAAAUUUUCAGGAAAUUAGAUCGACUGGAGAAGAAAAAGAAAAGAAAAGAAAAAGAUAGAAAAAAGAAAAAGUUUCAGAAGAGCAGAAGUAAACACAAAAAUCAUAAAUCCUCUUCCUCCUCCUCCUCCCCCUCCUCCUCUUUCUCUACUGAGACUUUAGAAAGCAGUAGUGAGAGUGAGAGUGACAAUAAAGAAAAAAAAUAGGAAGAAAAGAAAGAAAAGCAAGUGUUCAGGGCAUAACAACAGUGAUUCUGAAGUGAAGGACCAUUCUAAGAAGAGAAAACUUCAUGAAGAACUUUCUAGCAGUCACCAUAACCAGGAAAAAGCCAAGGAAAAGCUCAGGUUCUUAAAACAUGAAAGUUCUAGGGAGGAUAGCAAAUGGAGCCAUUCCGAUUCUGACAAAAUGUCCAGAAGCCAUAAUUACAGCCCAGAGAAGAGAGGCUCUGAAAGAAAUGACGGGAGUUCAAGU